AUGGCAUCCUCCUCUGUUGUGGUCGCGGCUGCUCUGAUCCUCUGCAUCCUCGUCGCCCAUGCCCAUGGCUGCUACGCCAAGCACCACACGGCUCCUUCUGCGACCAACUCCAGCUGGCUUGAUGCCAAGGCGACAUGGUACGGCGCGCCCCAUGGUACCGGGCCUGAUGACAAUGGCGGCGCGUGCGGGUUCAAGAACGUCAACUUACCACCCUUCUCCUCUAUGACCUCCUGCGGCAACCAGCCGCUCUUCAAGGACGGCAAGGGCUGCGGCUCCUGCUAUCAGUCCAAGAACAACAAUUGCUCUUUGUUGUGGCAUUGCUGGAGAAAUACAAGUGUAUAUACCCGUUUCCCACUGUCCAGUCGAGGAGAUCCCUGA
rnacentral:rRNA from 1 species